GUACAAUAAGUUGUUGUUUGCAUAUUACUGAGCCCAAAAGGAAGUUGUCUUAUCAAAAUUGAGAAAGAUUCAACGUGUUUUUGAAACCUUUAUUACCAAAGUCAAUUCAAGACUGCCACAUACGGGAGGGUAACAAUGUAAGGAUUUUAAACGAAAACAGAACGGAUAUAUCCUUCUCUACGUCCACAAACUAGCCGAACUGAAUCGUCUAAGGUUGAAAUCCACAAUGACGUCUACUACAAGCAGAAAGAAACGACAAAAGGUGAAAGCAGAAGUGUGGCAGUUGACGACAGUUUCGUUACAGAGUGUUGAGCAAAAACAGGAUGACAAAGAACUGAAGGAUGGCCAAGACCAGCCGCCAAUAUCCUCAACACUGGACUCGGUGCAAGCACAGCACAAGACUUCUGUCGAGAGCGGUGGAUGUU